GAUGAACGCUGGCGGCGUGCUUAACACAUGCAAGUCGAACGGAAAGGCCAGUGCUUGCACUGGUACUCGAGUGGCGAACGGGUGAGUAACACGUGGGUGAUCUGCCCUGCACUUCGGGAUAAGCCUGGGAAACUGGGUCUAAUACCGGAUAGGACAAUGGUUUGGAUGCCGUUGUGGAAAGUUUUUUCGGUGUGGGAUGAGCUCGCGGCCUAUCAGCUUGUUGGUGGGGUAAUGGCCUACCAAGGCGUCGACGGGGAGCCGGCCCCAGAGGGUGUACAGCCACACCGGGCUGCUGAUACGGCCCAGAGUCCUACGGGAGGCAGCAGGGGGGAAUAUUGCACAAUGGGCGCAAGCCUGAUGCAGCGACGCCGCGUGGGGGAUGACGGCCUUCGGGUUGUAAACUCCUUUCGCUAGGGACGAAGCGUAUUUGUGACGGUACCUGGAGAAGAAGCACCGGCUAACUACGUG
rnacentral:rRNA from 1 species